rnacentral:tRNA from 1 species
GGAGAGAUACCGAAGCGGCUAAACGGGGCAGACUGUAAAUCUGCUGGCUUGCGCCUACGGAGGUUCGAAUCCUCCUCUCUCCACCA